rnacentral:rRNA from 1 species
AUUGAACGCUGGCGGCAGGCCUAACACAUGCAAGUCGAGCGAGCGGCGGACGGGUGAGUAAAGUAUGUGGGUCUGCCCGAAGGCGGGGGAUAACUACUGGAAACAGGAGCUAAUACCGCAUACUCGAGGAUGUACCCAUAGGGGAUUAGCGAGUGGGUGGGGUAAAGGCUCACCUAGGCGACGAGCUCUAGCUGGUCUGAGAGGAUGAGCAGCCACACUGGGACUGAGACACGGCCCAGACUCCUACGGGAGGCAGCAGUGGGGAAUAUUGCACAAUGGGCGAAAGCCUGAUGCAGCCAUGCCGCGUGUAUGAAGAAGGCCUUAGGGUUGUAAAGUACUUUCAGCGGGGAGGUGUUACCCGCAGAAGAAGCACCGGCUAACUCCGUGCCAGCAGCCGCGGUAAUUC